rnacentral:misc_RNA from 1 species
AAGUCGUAACAAGGUUUCCGUAGGUGAACCUGCGGAAGGAUCAUUUCCAAAUUUGCCGUCUUUCUUCAUGUUGCUUUUUUCCUUCUUUGGAGAGAAUAACACGCAAGAAAGACCAAAAACCUUUUCAUUACAAACACCAUUUGUAUUCUAACACAAAGCCUAACAAGUAUUCUUUUAAAGAAAAACAAAAAAACAACUUUUAACAACGGAUCUCUUGGCUCUC